AGAGCAUUAAUUACUAAAUGUGUGUGUGUGUGUGUGUAUGAAUGUGAGUUUUCAGUGAUUAAGUGAUUAUGUGUGUAUGUGAUAUUGUGUCUGUGAUUGUAUGUGUGUGGGUUUGUGAUUGUGUUUAUGUCUGUGAUUAUGUGUAUGUAUGUCUGAGAUUGUUUGUAUAGGUCUGUGAUUGUAUGUGUGCGUGUGUGGGUCUGUGAUUAUGUGUGUUUGUGUGUAUGUCUGUGUAUAACUGUGAUUGUGUGUAUGCAUGUGAUUGUGUUUGUGAUUUUGUGUGUUUGUGAUUGUAUGUGUGGGUCUGUGAUUGUGUCUGUGUAUGUAUGUGACUGUGUGUGUGUGUAUGUGUGUGUAUAUCUGUGAUUGAGAGUAUGUCUGUGUGUGUGUGUGUAUAUCUGUGAUUUUGUGUGUAUGGGUAUAUCUUUGGUUAUGUGUUUAUGUAUAUACAUGUGUAUGUGUUUAAUAG